UUAAGUUAUUAAGGGCGCACGGUGGAUGCCUUGGCACUAGAAGCCGAUGAAGGACGUUACUAACGACGAUAUGCUUUGGGGAGCUGUAAGUAAGCUUUGAUCCAGAGAUUUCCGAAUGGGGAAACCCAGCAUGAGUUAUGUCAUGUUAUCGAUAUGUGAAUACAUAGCAUAUCAGAAGGCACACCCGGAGAACUGAAACAUCUUAGUACCCGGAGGAAGAGAAAGAAAAUUCGAUUCCCUUAGUAGCGGCGAGCGAAACGGGAAGAGCCCAAACCAACAAGCUUGCUUGUUGGGGUUGUAGGACACUCUAUACGGAGUUACAAAGGACGACAUUAGACGAAUCAUCUGGAAAGAUGAAUCAAAGAAGGUAAUAAUCCUGUAGUCGAAAAUGUUGUCUCUCUUGAGUGGAUCCUGAGUACGACGGAGCACGUGAAAUUCCGUCGGAAUCUGGGAGGACCAUCUCCUAAGGCUAAAUACUCUCUAGUGACCGAUAGUGAACCAGUACCGUGAGGGAAAGGUGAAAAGCACCCCGGAAGGGGAGUGAAAUAGAACCUGAAACCGUGUGCUUACAAGUAGUCAGAGCCCGUUAAUGGGUGAUGGCGUGCCUUUUGUAGAAUGAACCGGCGAGUUACGAUUUGAUGCAAGGUUAAGCAGUAAAUGUGGAGCCGUAGCGAAAGCGAGUCUGAAUAGGGCGUUUAGUAUUUGGUCGUAGACCCGAAACCAGGUGAUCUACCCUUGGUCAGGUUGAAGUUCAGGUAACACUGAAUGGAGGACCGAACCGACUUACGUUGAAAAGUGAGCGGAUGAACUGAGGGUAGCGGAGAAAUUCCAAUCGAACCUGGAGAUAGCUGGUUCUCUCCGAAAUAGCUUUAGGGCUAGCCUCAAGUGAUGAUUAUUGGAGGUAGAGCACUGUUUGGACGAGGGGCCCCUCUCGGGUUACCGAAUUCAGACAAACUCCGAAUGCCAAUUAAUUUAACUUGGGAGUCAGAACAUGGGUGAUAAGGUCCGUGUUCGAAAGGGAAACAGCCCAGACCACCAGCUAAGGUCCCAAAAUAUAUGUUAAGUGGAAAAGGAUGUGGCGUUGCCCAGACAACUAGGAUGUUGGCUUAGAAGCAGCCAUCAUUUAAAGAGUGCGUAAUAGCUCACUAGUCGAGUGACACUGCGCCGAAAAUGUACCGGGGCUAAACAUAUUACCGAAGCUGUGGAUUGUCCUUUGGACAAUGGUAGGAGAGCGUUCUAAGGGCGUUGAAGCAUGAUCGUAAGGACAUGUGGAGCGCUUAGAAGUGAGAAUGCCGGUGUGAGUAGCGAAAGACGGGUGAGAAUCCCGUCCACCGAUUGACUAAGGUUUCCAGAGGAAGGCUCGUCCGCUCUGGGUUAGUCGGGUCCUAAGCUGAGGCCGACAGGCGUAGGCGAUGGAUAACAGGUUGAUAUUCCUGUACCACCUAUAAUCGUUUUAAUCGAUGGGGGGACGCAGUAGGAUAGGCGAAGCGUGCGAUUGGAUUGCACGUCUAAGCAGUAAGGCUGAGUAUUAGGCAAAUCCGGUACUCGUUAAGGCUGAGCUGUGAUGGGGAGAAGACAUUGUGUCUUCGAGUCGUUGAUUUCACACUGCCGAGAAAAGCCUCUAGAUAGAAAAUAGGUGCCCGUACCGCAAACCGACACAGGUAGUCAAGAUGAGAAUUCUAAGGUGAGCGAGCGAACUCUCGUUAAGGAACUCGGCAAAAUGACCCCGUAACUUCGGGAGAAGGGGUGCUCUUUAGGGUUAACGCCCAGAAGAGCCGCAGUGAAUAGGCCCAAGCGACUGUUUAUCAAAAACACAGGUCUCUGCUAAACCGUAAGGUGAUGUAUAGGGGCUGACGCCUGCCCGGUGCUGGAAGGUUAAGAGGAGUGGUUAGCUUCUGCGAAGCUACGAAUCGAAGCCCCAGUAAACGGCGGCCGUAACUAUAACGGUCCUAAGGUAGCGAAAUUCCUUGUCGGGUAAGUUCCGACCCGCACGAAAGGCGUAACGAUUUGGGCACUGUCUCAACGAGAGACUCGGUGAAAUCAUAGUACCUGUGAAGAUGCAGGUUACCCGCGACAGGACGGAAAGACCCCGUGGAGCUUUACUGUAGCCUGAUAUUGAAAUUCGGCACAGCUUGUACAGGAUAGGUAGGAGCCUUUGAAACGUGAGCGCUAGCUUACGUGGAGGCGCUGGUGGGAUACUACCCUAGCUGUGUUGGCUUUCUAACCCGCACCACUUAUCGUGGUGGGAGACAGUGUCAGGCGGGCAGUUUGACUGGGGCGGUCGCCUCCUAAAAGGUAACGGAGGCGCUCAAAGGUUCCCUCAGAAUGG
rnacentral:rRNA from 1 species